AUUGAACGCUGGCGGCAGGCCUAACACAUGCAAGUCGAACGAGUGGCGGACGGGUGAGUAAUGUCUGGGAAACUGACUGAGGGAGGGGGAUCGCUACUGGAAACGGUAGCUAAUUCCGCAUACCAGCAGAUGGGCCCAGAUGGGAGUGGCUUGUUGGUGGGGUAACGGACCACAAAGGCGAGGAUCCCUAGCUGGUCUGAGCGGAUGACCAGCCACACGGGAACGGAGACACGGUCCAGACUCCUAAGGUAGGCAGCAGUGGGGAAUAUUGCACAAGGGGCGAAAGCCUGAUGCAGCCAGGCCGCGUGUAUGAAGAAGGCCUUCGGGUUGUAAAGUACUUUAAGCUGGGAGGCGUUACCCGCAGAAGAAGCACCGGCUAACUCCGUGCCAGCAGCCGCGGUAAUUC
rnacentral:rRNA from 1 species